GAAUGCUGAGAACUGCAGAAUUGAUGCUUUCAAACUAUAGUGGUGGAGAAGACUUUUGAGAGUCCUUUGGAUAGCAAGGAAAUCAAAUUAGUUGGUAUUUAAAGAAAUGAAUUCAGAUUAUUCAUUGGCGAGUCAAAUACUGAAGCUGAGGCUUAAAUACUUUGGUUACAUAAUUAAAAGACAGGACUCAUUGGAAAAGACCCUGAUGUUGGGAAACACUGAAGACAAAAGGAGAAAGAGACAGCAGAGGAUGAGACAGAAAGAGAGUGUCAUGAAAGUAACGAACAUGAACUUGGACAGACUUUGGGAGACAGUAAAAUAUAGAAGGAUCUGGUGUCCAUUGAGUCAUAAAGAGAACUGAACACACAAUGGAACAACAACAAGUGUGCCAGAUACUGUGCUAAGUGCUGGGAAUAUAAAGAAAGACAAAAGAGAGCCGUGCUCUUAAGGAGCUCACAGCUUAAUAAGGGAAACAGCAUGUAGACAACUAUGUGCAAAUAUAGAAAGAUAAAUAUGCCUAUAUACACAUAUGAGUGUAUAGAUAAUAAAUUGAAGAUAACCAACAAAGGGAAGGCAUGAGCAUUAAGGGGUAUCAGGAAAGGCUUCUUGAAGAGGUGGGACUUUAGAUGAGACCUGAAGGAAGCCAAGGAAAGUAGGAGAAGGGGCUGAGGAGGAAGAGAAUUUCAGGCAAGGGAGACAACCAGUGAAAAAUGCCCAUAUUCAGGAGAUAGAGUGACUAGUGCCAGGAACAGCAUGAAGACAGAAACAAAGCUUCCACCCAUUGUUUCUAGUUCUGCCUUUUGGCAGAAUGAAUGAUUGAAGAUCUCCAUAAGACACGCCCUUGCAACAAGGAAAAACAGAUUAUUUCAGUGGUGCUGUAUGACUGCAAGUCAUGGAACACUACAGUCUCCAAAGAAUUCAAGCAGUAGGUCACCCAAAGGGCAAUGCAGAGGUCUGUGGUGGGCGUGAGCGGCUGAAACCAAUUUCCAGGAAGAAAGUGCACAGGAGAUAUAAGUCCAGAUUGUUCCACUGGAAUCCAUGCAGCAUCAAAAGAGCUUGGGGAGGUUUUCACCAUGAUGAGUUGGGGGUGGGUGUGUGGAUCCUUUGGAGAAUCUAUGAGAGGACACACUAAGAGAUUUCCAAGGAAAAGAUGGAAUUUGGGUGGGUUGCAAUCUGUACCUCUGGGAAGAGUUGCCAUGCCCAGAAGAGUACAGAUCUGUUAAAGUAAAUAUUAAGAGAGCUCCAUCAGGACAAAAUUCCUACACUUGGCUUUGUGAGAUAUUUAUCCCACUCUGUCUUAGGUUAUGAUUUGUGGACGGAUCAUAUUUUCCUCAGGGUAUAGAUUUGCUCUGGUGCACCCCUCAAUCCAUUUGCCUCUUCUUCUUAUGGAUCUUUGUCAAAAUAUUCUCAUAAAGCUCCUUCUCCAUAAAGGAUUUACCUAAUUGGAUGAAACCCACAGAACAUUCAGGCAGUGCAUCUAAAACAGGAGUUUUUGUGGGCUUAGAAUUAGCUGGGAAGGGCCUUCGGAAUAGUCAACCCCCUCACUUGAAAGGUAAGGAAACCAAGGUUGUUCUAGAUCACACAGGUAGUAAAUGGCAGGGCUGGGAAUUGUUCCCAGGUUUUUUGACUUCCCAUUCCAUGUAGCAUUAAACCUCAGAUAGACCCUUAGUCUUAGAAUCAGGAAGAACUAAGUUUGAAUCCCACUUCAGACAUUUACUAACUAUGUGAUCUUGGGCAAGUCAUUUUACCUUUAUAGGCCUCAGUUUCCUUAUCUAUAAAAUGAGAAGAUUGGUUCAAGGAUCUCUAAGGUCCCAUAUAGUUUUAAAUUUGUAAUCCUUUUUCUAUUACAGGGAUAGCCUAGGGAGUAGAGUGAUGAUUUCAUUGGUUUAGGGAACUCUCAAUUGAAGAUUAUGAAUCCAAGGCAGGUCUUGAACUUGACUUUCUAUCCUCUACAUAUACUAUCCAUUUAAAUCUGUUGGAUCUCCUUUUCCCCAUAGGAUCAUCCCACUUCCUUUUUUUGGUCAUAUUCUCAGUUAUGUUCUUGUUGUCAGUUUUUGUAUGUAAGUGUAAAUACUGCAAAUUAAUUACAACCAUGGUGUGCCUGGGCAAUAUUCAUUUUUCACUCAUUUUAUUUUUCCUAUGAGGAUAGUUAGACCAAGCUCUUUCACAUGAGAGUUCAUCUGAAAUGGAUCUGGGGAGUUUAUUGAAUUCCAAGUUCACUAUAAGUCAGCAGUAUGUUGUGGGAGCCAAAAAAGGCUAACAAGAUCUUGGACUAUACUAAAAGUUAUGGUAUCUAGAUCUAAUGAAGUGACAGUCUCAUUGUACCCUCUUCCAGUGUGACCACAUCUGGAAGUGUUGCAUUCCAUUCUGAAUGCUACAUUUUAGGAGGGACAUUAAUGGGCUGGAGAGCAUCCAGAGGCAGGCUUGGGCAACCAUGGAAGGAUGGUGCCAUGUUAGGAUCAGUGCAAGGAACUGAGGAUGUUUAGGCAGGAAAAGAGAAGACUCAGUGAUGACAUUAUAUCUUUAAAAGACUGUCAAAAGGAGAAGGAAUCAGACUUCUAGGUCAAGAUGGCUCCAGAGUAGAAGCAGAGCUAGUCUUCUCCUCUCCACCAAUCAAGACACAGUGCCUCAAAAUGAGAAAAAUUUCCCCCACCAAGGAGUGAGCUCAUCACUUCUCCCCCUCUUCACCUACCAUUCCAGAGUCCUAGUGAGCAUGGGACAAACUUCUAAGCUCUAGGAGGGAAGCUGACUGAGGUCAACACGAGACUUACCCCUAAGAGAAACUAGACUCGGAACAUUGGGAGGCUGAGGAAACGUUGAUAUAAGGGUGCAGAGCUUGGAGAGAGGGGUUGGCUCACAGCAAAAUGCCACAGAGAACUUAAAAAAGUCCUUGGGCAAAAACUUCUCCAGUGACACUCCACACCCAGACCUCUUCCAGGCAAUCUUUAAGUUCUCAGGGGCUAGACUUUCUCAUAAGAACAGCAAGACUAGGGACCUCAGGAGGCUGAGGAAACAUGGAGAUAGGGCGUGGAGCUUGGGCAGAGAGAAGUGGCUCAAAGCAAAAACGCCACAGAGACCCAAAAAACAGACUGUGGGUAAAAACCUCUCCAGUGCUCAAUACAGAGACUUGCCUACACUCCACACCCAGACCUCUGAGGCAAUCUUUGAGUUCUUGGGGGCUGGACCUGCCACUAAGAGCAGCUAGAUACUGCUGAGGAUUGGAAAAAAUAUCCUCAGGGCAAAAACCUCUCCAGAGCUCAAUACAAAAGAUCACCCAUAUUCCUCACUUAGACAUCUGACCAGGAAGGAACAAAGCAAUGGCCACCAACUCUCAGGAACUAAAAUUCACAAACACCAAAAAAAGGAAGAAGAAAACUUUAACCCUUGAUAAUUUUUAUGCAGAAAAAAUCCAGACUAAAAAAGAGACAGCAGAAGAUGACAAGCAAUUAAAACACACCCAAAUUGGUCACAAGUUCUUGAAGACUUUAAAUCCAAGAUUGUGAGAAAAAUGGAAGAGAUGUGGCAAGAAAAGUGGGAAAUAGUUCAAAAAGGAAAUAAGUUUAAAAGAGAGUAUCUCCCACUUGGAAAUUGAAGCCCAGAAAUGAAAUGAAAUAAUAAGCAAAUUGAAGACCAGAAGUGACCUGCUGGAAGCCAUGAAAAGCAGGAUAGAUUAAACCAAAAAGGAAAAUCAACAGAUCUUCACUGAAAAAAACAGUCAUUAAAAACUAGAAUUGGGCAAAUAGAAGCCAAUGAUCUCACAAGACAGCAAGAAUUAAUGAAGCAAAGUCAAAAGAAUGACAGAUUAUUAGUCAACACAAGAUAUCUCAUUGAGGGGGAUUGACCUUGAAAAUAGAUCUCAGAGAGACAAUUUGAGAAUCAUAGACCUUCCUAAAAACCUGGAAACAAACAGAAACCUUGACAUCAUAUUACAAGAUAUUGUUCAAGAAAACUGCCCUGAGGUUCUGCAAUAAGAGUGCAAAAUAAACAUUGGAAGAGUCCAUAGAUCACCCACUACACUAAAUCCUCAAAAGACAACCCCAAGAAUGUAAUUGCCAAAUACAAGGGGGUCCAAGCUAAUGAGAAAAUAUUACAAGAAGCCAGAAAGAGACAAUUCAGAUAUCAAGGAGCACCAAUCAGGAUUACACAGGAUCUGGCAGCCUCCACAUUAAAAGACUGCAAGACUUGGAAUAUGCUAUUCAGAAAGGCAAGAGAAAUGGGUCUACAACCAAGGAUCACCUACCCAUCAAAAUUGACUAUAUACUUCCAGGGGAAAGUAUGGGCAUUCAACAAAAUAGAAGACUUCCAAAUAUUUGUAAAGAAAAGACCAGAACUAAACAGAAAAUUUGACAUCAAAAUACAAAAACCAAGAGAAACAUGAAAAGGUAAAUGAGAGAGGGGUCUUAUUUUUUUCUUUAAGAACCGCAAUAAGGCCAAAUUGUUUAUAUUCUUAUAUGGAAAAAUGUUAUUUGCAACUGUCAAAAAUUGUAUUUACUAUAAUAGUAGUUAGAAGAAUUAUCCAUAGGUAGAGAUUGGAGUACUAAGCGGUUUAAAAUCAUAUAUUAAAAAAAAGGAGGGGAGGAGAGAAGAUGGCACCAAGAAAAACUUGAAGAAAUAAGAAAAUUAGGAUAAUCUACACAAAAAGGCACAUGGGAGGGGGAGGGGAAGAAU